AUUGAACGCUGGCGGCAGGCAUAACACAUGCAAGUCGAGCGGAGCGGCGGUGGGGUGAGUAAUGCCUAGGAAUCUGCCUGGCCGUGGGGGGUACCAUCCGGAAGGGGGCGCUGAUACCUCAUCCUAGCAGAUGAGUCUAGGUCGGAUUAGCUAGGUGGUGGGGUAUAGGCCUACCAAGGCGACGAUCCGUAACUGGUCUGAGAGGAUGAUCAGUCACACUGGAACUGAGACACGGUCCAGACUCCUACGGGAGGCAGCAGUGGGGAAUAUUGGACAAUGGGCGAAAGCCUGAUCCAGCCAUGCCGCGUGUGUGAAGAAGGUCUUCGGAUUGUAAAGCACUUUAAGUUGGGAGGCGUUACCAACAGAAUAAGCACCGGCUAACUUCGUGCCAGCAGCCGCGGUAAUUC
rnacentral:rRNA from 1 species